GGAUAGUAGCCAGGCUCGCGCUUCCGGGGCUCACAGCGGUAACAGCUAUUUAAAUGACAAACCAUUCAACCAAUCAGAGGAAGGAGAGCAACUGGCCAAUGGGGUAAUCUAGAACUGUCCCUUCCCCAUUUAAGGAAAAAAAAGUUAUUCCUCUUCUGUAUAAUGCCAUAAUGCAAGAAACAUUAUCCUCCUGUCCUGGACCCUACCGGAUCACAUUCAACCCUGGACUAACCAGAUGUAAUUCCUAUUAAAGUAAAACUAAGGAUUCUACAAUCUUGCACAGAUGGUCUGAGUGAUCAGAAGCUAAUGAAAAUAUUGCUUAUUUGGAUCCUAAACUGCUGAAAGCUGACCAGAUAAUUAAUGGAAGAGCCUUCAUAGUGAAUUGCUAUAUAUUAACUUUUUUGUAAUUUUUUUUAUUGUAGCUAAGCUUAUUGAGUCUUUAUUGCUUACUAAAUUAUUUUCAUACUUUUGU